rnacentral:rRNA from 1 species
CGUCCGUCGUGAAGAGGGAAACAACCCAGACCGCCAGCUAAGGUCCCAAAGUCAUGGUUAAGUGGGAAACGAUGUGGGAAGGCACAGACAGCCAGGAUGUUGGCUUAGAAGCAGCCAUCAUUUAAAGAAAGCGUAAUAGCUCACUGGUCGAGUCGGCCUGCGCGGAAGAUGUAACGGGGCUAAACCAUGCACCGAAGCUGCGGCAGCGACACUAUGUGUUGUUGGGUAGGGGAGCGUUCUGUAAGCCUGCGAAGGUGUGCUGUGAGGCAUGCUGGAGGUAUCAGAAGUGCGAAUGCUGACAUAAGUAACGAUAAAGCGGGUGAAAAGCCCGCUCGCCGGAAGACCAAGGGUUCCUGUCCAACGUUAAUCGGGGCAGGGUGAGUCGACCCCUAAGGCGAGGCCGAAAGGCGUAGUCGAUGGGAAACAGGUUAAUAUUCCUGUACUUGGUGUUACUGCGAAGGGGGGACGGAGAAGGCUAUGUUAGCCGGGCGACGGUUGUCCCGGUUUAAGCAUGUAGGCUGAUUGUCCAGGCAAAUCCGGAUAAUCAAGGCUGAGGUGUGAUGACGAGGCACUACGGUGCUGAAGUAACAAAUGCCCUGCUUCCAGGAAAAGCCUCUAAGCAUCAGGUAACAUCAAAUCGUACCCCAAACCGACACAGGUGGUCAGGUAGAGAAUACCAAGGCGCUUGAGAGAACUCGGGUGAAGGAACUAGGCAAAAUGGUGCCGUAACUUCGGGAGAAGGCACGCUGGUGUGUAGGUGAAGUCCCUGCGGAUGGAGCUGAGACCAGUCGAAGAUACCAGCUGGCUGCAACUGUUUAUUAAAAACACAGCACUGUGCAAACACGAAAGUGGACGUAUACGGUGUGACGCCUGCCCGGUGCCGGAAGGUUAAUUGAUGGGGUUAUCCGUAAGGAGAAGCUCUUGAUCGAAGCCCCGGUAAACGGCGGCCGUAACUAUAACGGUCCUAAGGUAGCGAAAUUCCUUGUCGGGUAAGUUCCGACCUGCACGAAUGGCGUAAUGAUGGCCAGGCUGUCUCCACCCGAGACUCAGUGAAAUUGAACUCGCUGUGAAGAUGCAGUGUACCCGCGGCAAGACGGAAAGACCCCGUGAACCUUUACUAUAGCUUGACACUGAACAUUGAGCCUUGAUGUGUAGGAUAGGUGGGAGGCUUUGAAGCGUGGACGCCAGUCUGCGUGGAGCCAACCUUGAAAUACCACCCUUUAAUGUUUGAUGUUCUAACGUUGGCCCCUGACCGGGGUUGCGGACAGUGUCUGGUGGGUAGUUUGACUGGGGCGGUCUCCUCCCAAAGCGUAACGGAGGAGCACGAAGGUUAGCUAAUCCUGGUCGGACAUCAGGAGGUUAGUGCAAUGGCAUAAGCUAGCUUGACUGCGAGCGUGACGGCGCGAGCAGGUGCGAAAGCAGGUCAUAGUGAUCCGGUGGUUCUGAAUGGAAGGGCCAUCGCUCAACGGAUAAAAGGUACUCCGGGGAUAACAGGCUGAUACCGCCCAAGAGUUCAUAUCGACGGCGGUGUUUGGCACCUCGAUGUCGGCUCAUCACAUCCUGGGGCUGAAGUAGGUCCCAAGGGUAUGGCUGUUCGCCAUUUAAAGUGGUACGCGAGCUGGGUUUAGAACGUCGUGAGACAGUUCGGUCCCUAUCUGCCGUGGGCGCUGGAGAAUUGAGGGGGGCUGCUCCUAGUACGAGAGGACCGGAGUGGACGCAUCACUGGUGUUCGGGUUGUCAUGCCAAUGGCACUGCCCGGUAGCUAAAUGCGGAAGAGAUAAGUGCUGAAAGCAUCUAAGCACGAAACUUGCCCCGAGAUGAGUUCUCCCUGAGACUAUAAGUCUCCUGAAGGAACGUUGAAGACGACGACGUUGAUAGGCCGGGUGUGUAAGCGCAGCGAUGCGUUGAGCUAACCGGUACUAAUGAACCGUGAGGCUUAACCUU